rnacentral:rRNA from 1 species
AUCCUGGCUCAGAAUGAACGCUGGCGGCAGGCCUAACACAUGCAAGUCGAGCGAAGUCUUCGGACUUAGCGGCGGACGGGUGAGUAACGCGUGGGGACAUACCCUUUGGUACGGAAUAGCCUCGGGAAACUGGGAGUAAUACCGUAUGUGCCCUUCGGGGGAAAGAUUUAUCGCCAAAGGAUUGGCCCGCGUUGGAUUAGGUAGUUGGUGGGGUAAAGGCUCACCAAGGCUCCGAUCGGUAUCCGGCCUGAGAGGGCGGACGGACACACUGGAACUGAGACACGGUCUAGACUCC